rnacentral:rRNA from 1 species
AUUGAACGCUGGCGGCAGGCCUAACACAUGCAAGUCGAACGAGUGGCGGACGGGUGAGUAAUGUCUGGGACACUCCCUGAUGGAGGGGGAUAACUACUGGAACCGGUAGCAAUACCCGCAUACCAUCAGCUGUGCGUCGAUGGGAUGAGCGAGUUGGUGGGGUAACGGGUCACCAAGGCGACGUUCCUUAGCUGGUCUGCGAGAAUGACAAGCCAAACUGGAAUUGUGACACGGUCCAGAGUCCUACGGGAGGCAGCGUUGGGGAAUAUUGCACGAUGGGGGCAAGCCUGAUGCAGCGAUGCCGCGUGUAUGAAGAAGGCCUUCGGGUUGUAAAGUACUUUCAGUGGUGGGGCGUUACCUGCAGAAGAAGCACCUGCUAACUCCGUGCCAGCAGCCGCGGUAAUUC